GACGAACGCUGGCGGCGUGCUUAACACAUGCAAGUCGAACGGAAAGGCCUGCUUUCCCUUGUGGAUUGCGGGUACUCGAGUGGCGAACGGGUGAGUAACACGUGAGUGAUCUGCCCCCAACUUGGGUAUAAGCCUGGGAAACUGGGUCUAAUUCCCGAUAGGACUGCAGGGUGGUGCCUGUGGUGGAAAACGAUUUUCUAGUGGUUGGGGAUGAGCUCGCGGCCUAUCAGCUUGUUGGUGGGGUAAUGGCCUACCAAGGCGGCGACGGGUAGCCGGCCUGAGAGGGUGGACGGCCACAUUGGGACUGGGAUACGGCCCAGACUCCUACGGGAGGCAGCAGUGGGGAAUAUUGCACAAUGGGCGGAAGCCUGAUGCAGCGACGCCGCGUGGGGGAUGACGGCCUUCGGGUUGUAAACUCCUUUCGACCGCGAGGAAGCCACCUGGUUGGAAGGGUGGCGACGGUAGUGGUAGAAGAAGCACCGGCUAACUACGU
rnacentral:rRNA from 1 species